UGCUCGUUUUGUUGGCAUUGU
rnacentral:misc_RNA from 1 species